AUAAUUUCUCAUAAAUUGUACGUUUAUUCAUCGUUGUGCACACAUUUUUUUCUUUUUCAUUCGAAUUGCAGCUUCGUUAGCGUUAUUGUUUCACGUUCAAUUUCCAUUUUAAUGCUAUCUCGUUUAGUAAUCGUUGAAGUGUCGUCUGAACAGCAUGAAAAGUUUCAUUUAUUUUGGCAUUUUUGUUCUUCUUCAUUUGGUUUCGUACACAUUUAGUGCGAACAUCCCGUCAAUUGGCGUUGGAAGUGGCAGUGCAGUUGCUAUGGAUAUAGACGAACCCAUCCACGAUGAUCCACUUGUGAGCUCGGUUAAAGUGUCAUCACCUGUCAUCCAAAUUAUUCGUUCAAAAACACACGCACAGUUAGCUAAAAGGCAUUUGGUUUUGUCAAAUAACAGCAAAUUGAAUUCCAAAGCAAACCCAGCUCAAGUUAUAGUCACAAAAUAUUUUGAAGCAUAAAUUGUACAUUGUUUUUAAAUAAAUAAACGCCCCAUUUUUAAACCUAUACAUAAA